CAGUAGCCGCGGGAAUACGUAGGGUGCAAGCGUUAAUCGGAAUUACUGGGCGUAAAGGGCGCGCAGGCGGAUGUUUAAGUCAGAGGUGAAAGCCCAGGGCUCAACCUUGGAACUGCCUUUGAUACUGGACAUCUUGAGUGUGGGAGAGGUGAGUGGAACUCCGAGUGUAGAGGUGAAAUUCGUAGAUAUUCGGAAGAACACCAGUGGCGAAGGCGACUCACUGGCCCAUUACUGACGCUGAGGCGCGAAAGCGUGGGGAGCAAACAGGAUUAGAUACCCCCGUAGUCCCUGUCUCUUAUAC
rnacentral:rRNA from 1 species